UUCUUCCCUAGCAUCCCACGUAUCCCACCCCAAUUUGUCUACAUUUCUUGUCUUCCUUUUGUGCCCCAAAAGUCUCCUUCUUAUCCUAUUUUGCUGGCUGCCUCAGACCAGAAAGUCCAGCUCCUUUACUUCUUUCUCUAUUCCUCUUCCUUUGUUCUUCUUUCUCUCUUCUUCCUUUGCUUCUACACGGCAGCCCUCCCUGUCUCACCAACACAAAAUAUCCCUCUCUAAAGAAGAAAUUAAAAGGUUAACACUAAAAUUUCAGCUUCAAAUUGUUGGGGGUGUUACCAGUAUCCAAGUCUAAGCUCCUUCGACUUUAGGCUCUCGGUUCCUCUGCUUUCAGGUAAGGGAUAAGUUAUAUGGGCAUUUGUUAGCAGGUUUUAUUUUAGAGCAGUAGGAGCCUUAGUCGAGUUUUGGAAGGAGCUGGUUUUAGUUUGAUGUGUAUAGAUCCUAAAUUAGUAAUUUGAUGUUUAGC